rnacentral:tRNA from 1 species
GGGAACGGUGGUGUAAUGGAAGCAUGUCUAUCACCAAAGAAGACGGCGCCGGUUCAAACCCGGCCCGUUCCCU